CGUAUGAUGAACAUCGAGUUCCCAAACUUUGAGCAGAGGACGCUCGAACUGUUGGCCGAGCACGGCCUCUGGGAUCAUCUUGAGAUUGUCAAACUGUUUAGCAAGUAUGCCGCGAGGCUCCAGGAGGUAAUUAAGAGGGACAAGGUCCGCCCAGCGGAGAAGGUUGCAAAGUCGGCGAAGGCACGCCAGUAGCUUCUCCUGCGCCUCCACAUGUGGUAUACUAUCUGGAGCGUGAAGCUGGAGUUUGGCUGGAGUUUAUCUGGUGAUGUCUAUGAAGCUGCAGUUUGGUUGUUUGUCUUGACCGAGGAUCAAGCCAUGAACUUCUGGCAGCCCAGAAACUGUUGUUGUGUGCGGGCUAUCUUGUCAGUUUCAGUAAUUCGUAAAAAAACCGAUUGCUUGUGUGCAAUUCAUGAAUUUGUGGUCUCUGGCACUUAAAAAGUCAAAUUUGUCUGUAUAACAUUCAAUCGUCGCCAAGAUUCUGCUUCAUCAAA